rnacentral:rRNA from 1 species
AGAGUUUGAUCCUGGCUCAGGACGAACGCUGGCGGCGUGCCUAACACAUGCAAGUCGAGCGGAGACAGUGAGUAGCUUGCUAUGAGCUGUUUUAGCGGCGGACGGGUGAGUAACGCGUGAGCAACCUUUCCCAGACAGGGGAAUAACACACCGAAAGGUGUACUAAUACCGCAUAAGACCACGGGAUCACAUGGUUCUGGGGUAAAAGAUUUAUCGGUUUGGGGUGGGCUCGCGUCCGAUUAGGUAGUUGGUGAGGUAACGGCCCACCAAGCCGACGAUCGGUAGCCGACCUGAGAGGGUGAUCGGCCACAUUGGGACUGAGACACGGCCCAAACUCCUACGGGAGGCAGCAGUGGGGAAUAUUGGGCAAUGGGGGGAACCCUGACCCAGCAACGCCGCGUGGAGGAAGAAGGUUUUCGGAUCGUAAACUCCUGUCCUUGGAGACGAGUAGAAGACGGUAUCCAAGGAGGAAGCCCCGGCUAACUACGUGCCAGCAGCCGCGGUAAUACGUAGGGGGCAAGCGUUGUCCGGAAUAAUUGGGCGUAAAGGGCGCGUAGGCGGCUCGGUAAGUCUGGAGUGAAAGUCCUGCUUUUAAGGUGGGAAUUGCUUUGGAUACUGUCGGGCUUGAGUGCAGGAGAGGUUAGUGGAAUUCCCAGUGUAGCGGUGAAAUGCGUAGAGAUUGGGAGGAACACCAGUGGCGAAGGCGACUAACUGGACUGUAACUGACGCUGAGGCGCGAAAGUGUGGGGAGCAAACAGGAUUAGAUACCCUGGUAGUCCACACUGUAAACGAUGAAUGCUAGGUGUAGGGGGUAUCGACCCCUUCUGUGCCGCAGUCAACACAAUAAGCAUUCCGCCUGGGGAGUACGGCCGCAAGGUUGAAACUCAAAGGAAUUGACGGGGGCCCGCACAAGCAGCGGAGCAUGUGGUUUAAUUCGACGCAACGCGAA